rnacentral:rRNA from 1 species
AAAUUGAAGAGUUUGAUCAUGGCUCAGAUUGAACGCUGGCGGCAGGCCUAACACAUGCAAGUCGAACGGUAACAGGAAGCAGCUUGCUGCUUUGCUGACGAGUGGCGGACGGGUGAGUAAUGUCUGGGAAACUGCCUGAUGGAGGGGGAUAACUACUGGAAACGGUAGCUAAUACCGCAUAACGUCGCAAGACCAAAGAGGGGGACCUUCGGGCCUCUUGCCAUCGGAUGUGCCCAGAUGGGAUUAGCUAGUAGGUGGGGUAACGGCUCACCUAGGCGACGAUCCCUAGCUGGUCUGAGAGGAUGACCAGCCACACUGGAACUGAGACACGGUCCAGACUCCUACGGGAGGCAGCAGUGGGGAAUAUUGCACAAUGGGCGCA